UGAACGCUAGCGGCAGGCUUAAUACAUGCAAGUCGUGGGGCAGCAUGAGUAGCAAUACUUGAUGGCGACCGGCAGACGGGUGAGGAACACGUACACAACCUUCCUUCAAGCGGGGAAUAGCCCAGAGAAAUUUGGAUUAAUACCCCAUAAUAUAUUUGAUAAGGCAUCUUAUUAAUAUUAAAGCUUCGGCACUUGAUGAUGGGUGUGCGGCUGAUUAGAUAGUUGGCGGGGUAACGGCCCACCAAGUCUACGAUCAGUAGCUGAUGUGAGAGCAUGAUCAGCCACACGGGCACUGAGACACGGGCCCGACUCCUACGGGAGGCAGCAGUAAGGAAUAUUGGACAAUGGACGAAAGUCUGAUCCAGCCAUGCCGCGUGAAGGAUUAAGGUCCUCUGGAUUGUAAACUUCUUUUAUAUGGGACGAAAAAGGGCAUUCUUGUUCACUUGACGGUACCAUAUGAAUAAGCACCGGCUAACUCCGUG
rnacentral:rRNA from 1 species